rnacentral:lncRNA from 1 species
UAAUCCACCCUUCUUGACUACCACCAAUAUAAUCAAACAUAUCAUCACAAUCAUUCAUAUCACAUCAAAUAAUUUGUCAAUACGGACCCCGUCCAUAUUUGUCAUAUCAUACACUUCUUUCCCACCUGCUGCCAAUCUUUGAUAAAUCAUUUAAAAUAUUUUAUCCCUAAAACAACAUUAUAGCCCUCUAUUUCAGCUACCUAACACUUUAAACCCCGUCCCAAAAUGAUUUAUAAGUUGAAAGUUAUGAUCAAAACCGUGCACGAAGGCAUUAUCA